UUGAUACUUGUAAGAUUCAGUGUCUGCCAUACUUGAUUACAUACUCAAGUGCUCUUGAUGAGAGAUUCAAGCUCGUCAUACAUCCAUCCUUGCUGCUUAAGGAAUAGAUUGGUGGAAUCGUUCUCAUCACUUGGCUGGACACAUGAUCUGUAACCACAUAUAAAUUGAAUGGAAGUUCAGUUCAUCGGAAUAUUCAGUGCAAAUAGCUUGCUUGCCCUAAAAGCACUGCACUAUAUGAAGAUGGGAUUCUGUCAGCAUAGGAUUCUCUCUUACAAAAACCAUGAGGCUCCUGGCUUCAUACGUUGGAUCAAGAGUCAACAGGGUGUUUUAAGCUGCCGUUUAGGGGGCAAUUCAGUGCUAAGUCCAAGGAGAGACUCGAGCCCAAAGAAAAGAGCCAGCUGGUUUAGCAAGGAGAGGACAGCUUAAUUUGUGGUAUGCCACAACUUGAACAUUACAAGUUGAAACGAAAUAUUAUAACAUCACGAGGUUUUCUAAACAAAUUCUUCAUCUUCAAGGUUUUCAUGGAAAGAAAAUAGAUGGGUCGACGCCUGACAGAGUCUCAUCUUCUUUCCUUUAAAAAUAAGUUUCACAACGAAAGAGAAUUCCCAUUUGCAUCUUUCGAAG
rnacentral:lncRNA from 1 species